rnacentral:rRNA from 1 species
CGCGACUCAAAGAAAGGAGGACUGCUGAAAUGCUAGUCCUGCAGAAGCAGGCAACACUUAUCAAAUUGCGGGAACACCCUAAAGACCUCAACACCAAGCGUCAUGGGAAACCAUGGCGUGGCCGAGCUAUAGCCCUGGGUAUGGUAACAGCUUGAAGGUAUGAAGCCUUUCGCAAGGAGGAGAAAAUGGGCAAUCCGCUUCCCAAGUCGUAACUUGCUCGAAACCGAGUGCCCAUGGAUGCUGUUCACAGAGCCAAAUGGUAGCGGGGGACUUCAACUUUCUUCUUGUUUUUUUUUUUUGAAGUAAAAGUCGUAACAAGGUCUCCGUUGGUGAACCAGCGGAGGGAUCAUUACUGAGUUUACGCUCUAUAACCCUUUGUGAACAUACCUAUAACUGUUGCUUCGGCGGGUAGGGUCUCCGCGACCCUCCCGGCCUCCCGCCUCCGGGCGGGUCGGCGCCCGCCGGAGGAUAACCAAACUCUGAUUUAACGACGUUUCUUCUGAGUGGUACAAGCAAAUAAUCAAAACUUUUAACAACGGAUCUCUUGGUUCUGGCAUCGAUGAAGAACGCAGCGAAAUGCGAUAAGUAAUGUGAAUUGCAGAAUUCAGUGAAUCAUCGAAUCUUUGAACGCACAUUGCGCCCGCCAGCAUUCUGGCGGGCAUGCCUGUUCGAGCGUCAUUUCAACCCUCAAGCUCUGCUUGGUGUUGGGGCCCUACAGCUGAUGUAGGCCCUCAAAGGUAGUGGCGGACCCUCCCGGAGCCUCCUUUGCGUAGUAACUUUACGUCUCGCACUGGGAUCCGGAGGGACUCUUGCCGUAAAACCCCCCAAUUUUCCAAAGGUUGACCUCGGAUCAGGUAGGAAUACCCGCUGAACUUAA